AGAGUUUGAUCCUGGCUCAGAUUGAACGCUGGCGGCAUGCCUAACACAUGCAAGUCGAACGGGUCCUUCGGGACUAGUGGCGGACGGGUGAGUAACGCGUGGGAACGUGCCCUUUGGUUCGGAAUAGCCCCGGGAAACUGGGAGUAAUACCGGAUAAGCCCUUAGGGGGAAAGAUUUAUCGCCAAAGGAUCGGCCCGCGUUGGAUUAGGUAGUUGGUGGGGUAAUGGCCUACCAAGCCGACGAUCCAUAGCUGGUUUGAGAGGAUGAUCAGCCACACUGGGACUGAGACACGGCCCAGACUCCUACGGGAGGCAGCAGUGGGGAAUCUUAGACAAUGGGGGAAACCCUGAUCUAGCCAUGCCGCGUGAUCGAUGAAGGCCUUAGGGUUGUAAAGAUCUUUCAGUUGGGAAGAUAAUGACGGUACCAACAGAGAG
rnacentral:rRNA from 1 species